CCUACGGGUGGCAGCAGUGAGGAAUAUUGGUCAAUGGUCGGGAGACUGAACCAGCCAAGCCGCGUGAGGGAGGAAGGUACAGAGUAGCGUACACCUCUUUUGUCAGGGAACAAAUACUGGUACGCGUCCCCGGAUGAGUGUACCUGAAGAAAAAGCAUCCGCUAACUCCGUGCCAGCAGCCGCGGUAAUACGGAGGAUGCGAGCGUUAACUGGAUGUAUUGGGUUUAAAGGGUGCGCAGGCGGGCUGUUAAGUCCGGCGGGAAAGCCCCGGGCUCAAACCCGGCCCGCCCGUUGAAACUGGCAGUCUCGAGUUGGAGAGAAGUAUGCGGAAUGCGCGGUGUAGCGGUGAAAUGCAUAGAUAUCGCGCAGAACACCGGUGGCGAAGGCGGCAUGCCGGCUCCACACUGACGCUGAGGCACGAAAGCGUGGGUAGCGAACAGGAUUAGAUACCCCGGUAGUC
rnacentral:rRNA from 1 species